rnacentral:rRNA from 1 species
UGGGGAAUAUUGCACAAUGGGCGCAAGCCUGAUGCAGCCAUGCCGCGUGUAUGAAGAAGGCCUUCGGGUUGUAAAGUACUUUCAGCGAGGAGGAAGGCGUUGUGGUUAAUAACCGCAACGAUUGACGUUACUCGCAGAAGAAGCACCGGCUAACUCCGUGCCAGCAGCCGCGGUAAUACGGAGGGUGCAAGCGUUAAUCGGAAUUACUGGGCGUAAAGCGCACGCAGGCGGUCUGUCAAGUCGGAUGUGAAAUCCCCGGGCUCAACCUGGGAACUGCAUCCGAAACUGGCAGGCUAGAGUCUUGUAGAGGGGAGUAGAAUUCCAGGUGUAGCGGUGAAAUGCGUAGAGAUCUGGAGGAAUACCGGUGGCGAAGGCGGCCCCCUGGACAAAGACUGACGCUCAGGUGCGAAAGCGUGGGGAGCAAACA